AUUGAACGCUGGCGGAAUGCUUUACACAUGCAAGUCGAACGGCAGCACGGACUUCGGUCUGGUGGCGAGUGGCGAACGGGUGAGUAAUAUAUCGGAACGUAUCCAAUAAUGGGGGAUAACUAAUUGAAAGGUUGGCUAAUACCGCAUACGUCCUACGGGAGAAAGCUAGGGACCUUCGGGCCUGGCGUUAAUGGAGCGGCCGAUAUCGGAUUAGCUAGUUGGUGAGGUAAAGGCUCACCAAGGCGACGAUCCGUAGCUGGUCUGAGAGGACGACCAGCCACACUGGAACUGAGACGCGGUCCAGACUCCUACGGGAGGCAGCAGUGGGGAAUUUUGGACAAUGGGCGAAAGCCUGAUCCAGCCAUUCCGCGUGAGUGAAGAAGGCCUUCGGGUUGUAAAGCUCUUUCGCAAGAGAAGAAAACUUACCCUCUAACAUAGGGUGAGGUUGACGGUAUCUUGAUAAGAAGCACCGGCUAACUACGUGCCAGCCGCCGCAGUAA
rnacentral:rRNA from 1 species